AAGUCGAACGCGAAAGUGGAGCAAUCCAUGAGUAGAGUGGCAAACGGGUGAGUAACGCGUGGGCGACCUACCUCAGAGUGGGGGAUAACCUUCCGAAAGGAGGGCUAAUACCGCAUGACAUACCGUGUUUGGAUACACGGAUAUCAAAGCCGGGGAUCGCAAGACCUGGCGCUUGGAGAGGGGCCCGCGUCCGAUUAGCUAGUUGGUGAGGUAACGGCUCACCAAGGCUCCGAUCGGUAUCCGGCCUGAGAGGGCGGACGGACACACUGGAACUGAGACACGGUCCAGACUCCUACGGGAGGCAGCAGUGGGGAAUUGUUCGCAAUGGGCGCAAGCCUGACGACGCAACGCCGCGUGGAGGAUGAAGACUUUCGGGUCGUAAACUCCUUUCGACCGAGAUGAAUUUCCCACGACCUAACACGUCGUGGGAGUGACAGUAUCGAGGGAAGAAGCCCCGGCUAACUCCGUGCCAGCAGCCGCGGUAAUACGGGGGGGGCAAGCGUUGUUCGGAAUUACUGGGCGUAAAGGGUUUGUAGGUGGCUUGUUAAGUCAGACGUGAAAUCCCUCAGCUUAACUGGGGAACUGCGUCUGAUACUGGCGAGCUUGAGUGCAGGAGAGGAACGCGGAAUUCCAGGUGUAGCGGUGAAAUGCGUAGAUAUCUGGAGGAACACCGGUGGCGAAGGCGGCGUUCUGGACUGCAACUGACACUGAUAAACGAAAGCCAGGGUAGCAAACGGGAUUAGAUACCCCGGUAGUCCUGGCCC
rnacentral:rRNA from 1 species